GUAUUUUCACAUUCAUUUGUUGGCGCAAGUGAAGAUGGCGUCAAAGUGUUUCAGCUUAAAUACCAUAUGUUGUGUUCUAAGCCUUUGUUAAAUGUCUUGGGAGACUACACAGUUGAUUCUUUUGUGUGGUAAGAAUCAUGUGAAUUUGCAUAUUACACGACGUGUAUCAUUUGUUUUAAUGGCAUACGAUAACUAUCCAUAGUGAUAGAAAGAAAUUGAGUAAGAAAUACUAGUUAUACAUGCAAGGUUUGUGAUUUAAUGGAUGAAUAAUGUAUAAAACAUUGUGUUAUUGUGGAUAUGGGUGCCUCCCUUACAAUGCUUGGUUCUAUGUAUUUACCAUUAUAUGCCAUCUCUUCAUAUGCAUUCUUUUGUUUUUGCACUAUUAUUUGCGAUUGCUGGAAAGGCCUCUUGAUCUAACUUGCAAACAUGGUGUCAUCGACCAAGGGACUUCAACUGUUUAAUAAUGUUGAAGAACAACCCAACAUACCUUGUCCAAAGAGGCAUAUUCCAAUUACUAAAAUAGAGCAACACAAAGAGGGGCAAUGAUUUGGAAGCUUAUGUGGGAAUUGUUUUCACAGUCAGAAUUGUCCAAUCAACACUCUUCAUUUUCUUGAAAAUUUUCUCAACAGGUCUGCACCGUGAGAGUAGAGAAGUGCCUGAAUGAGAUAGUGAAUAGGUUGAACAAGACAAAAGUCGAAAGGAAGCCUGACUUGAAAGUUCACUAGGACUGAAUAGACCUCUUCUAAGUUCUCAACUUAUGGCUUCUGCAAGCUUCCUGGAAUAUGUCCUGUACUCUAUAUGGUGUUAUAAGCCACUCAUGUUAUGUGCUGGUUAUGCAGCUGAGCAGGAAGCAGUGAAUUACAAGGAUAUCGAUGAGGAAUUCCUACAAAGGGUUACGGAGAAUACCCGUUGAUAUCUGGCUGAGGUUUUGGCAAGAUCAGCAGCGUGGCUUGGAAGAGGCCUUUCUUGUGUUUGUGCUCAAAGAGGAGAGAAUGAUGCCCAUUCAUAGUUUGAACUAACCCCUUUGCAGAGGCCACAACUGGUGAAGGGGAAUAUGCAGCUUUUUUCUGUGGAUCAGCAGUGUAGUCAAGCUCUCGAAGCACAUGCUGCAUCAUUUGCUUCACGAAAGGUUGCUGGAAAUGAAAACCCUUCCAUUCUUAUUGCCUUGCCUUAAAGACCACCAAUGCAGGACAGAUUACAUCAAAGUUACAUGUGAUUGAACUUGGUGCUCAGCCAAGUAAACCUGGUUUCACAAAGAAACAAGCAGAUCUUUUCUUCCCUCCAGAUUUUGCUGAUGACUUCCUAGUGGCAAUGCAGGUACUCAUGUGUACCCAUAACAUUUGGACCAUGUUCAGUAGCAUCAAUACUAAACCA